rnacentral:tRNA from 1 species
GGGGAAAAAGCUCAAUGGUAGAGCACAUGCUUAGCAUGCACGAGGUCCUGGGUUCAAUCCCCCAUACCUCCA